rnacentral:rRNA from 1 species
AUGAACGCUGGCGGCGUGCCUAAUACCUGCAAGUCGAGCGAACAGACGAGGAGCUUGCUCCUCUGACGUUAGCGGCGGACGGGUGAGUAACACGUGGAUAACCUACCUAUAAGACUGGGAUAACUUCGGGAAACCGGAGCUAAUACCGGAUAAUAUAUUGAACCGCAUGGUUCAAUAGUGAAAGACGGUUUUGCUGUCACUUAUAGAUGGAUCCGCGCCGCAUUAGCUAGUUGGUAAGGUAACGGCUUACCAAGGCAACGAUGCGUAGCCGACCUGAGAGGGUGAUCGGCCACACUGGAACUGAGACACGGUCCAGACUCCUACGGGAGGCAGCAGUAGGGAAUCUUCCGCAAUGGGCGAAAGCCUGACGGAGCAACGCCGCGUGAGCGAUGAAGGUCUUCGGAUCGUAAAACUCUGUUAUUAGGGAAGAACAAAUGUGUAAGUAACUAUGCACGUCUUGACGGUACCUAAUCAGAAAGCCACGGCUAACUACGUG